rnacentral:tRNA from 2 species
AUGCUAUUAGUAUAAAUUUAUUAUUUUUCUUUUCCACAGAGAAGAUCUAAUUGUUAGAUAGUAUA